UACGUAGGGGGCAAGCGUUGUCCGGAAUCAUUGGGCGUAAAGCGCGUGUAGGCGGUUCAGUAAGUCUGCUGUGAAAGGCCAGGGCUCAACCCUGGGAUGCCGGUGGAUACUGCUGGGCUAGAGUACGGAAGAGGCGAGUGGAAUUCCCGGUGUAGCGGUGAAAUGCGCAGAUAUCGGGAGGAACACCAAUUGCGAAGGCAGCUCGCUGGGACGUUACUGACGCUGAGACGCGAAAGCGUGGGGAGCAAACAGG
rnacentral:rRNA from 1 species